CUUCUAUUGUCCAUCUCCCAGAGGAGGGAGAAAGGCCUUUUAAGAUUUGUUUUACUUCUCAUUAUUCUACUCUGAUUUUGAUUGGCAGUAAAUUCAAUUAAUUUCUCCUAGUUGAAUCUGUUUUGCCUGUGACUGUAA